GAUGAAGAACGUAGUAAAUCGCGAUAUGUAGUGUGAUCUGCCCAUAGUGAAUCAUCAAAUUUUUGAACGCAUCUUGCACCCUUGGGUAUUCCUGAGGGUACGCCUGUUUCAGUAUCAUUCUAACUUCUUUUCCCCUUGAUUGGGGGGAUGGAAAAAUCACCAUUGGCCUGGUUUAGGCGCGUUUUUAACGCGUUUGCUUGGCUUGAAUAGGACUCGGUUUUUGACUGGGUAGUUACCUUUUGGUAGUGAAUUCUGCAAAAAGUAAAAACUUCUCCAUAAAAAAACUCGGGCUUGAUGCCCAAAAUUCAUAUACUUGAUCUGAAAUCAGGCGGGAUUACCCGCUGAACUUAAGCAUAUCAAUAAGCGGAGGA
rnacentral:misc_RNA from 1 species